rnacentral:snRNA from 1 species
GUGCUCACUUCGGCAGCACAUAUACUAAAACUGGAAAGGUA